UUCGUAUUACCAUAGUCACUCUAUGUAUGCGUAGUAUUAGGUUAUAUAGCCUAGGUAGUCAAGGUAAUUAAUCUGGUAGUCAAAGUGGUCAAGGUAAUCUAGGCGGUGGAGGUAAUCUAGGUAGUGGAGGUAAUCUAGGUAGUGGAGGUAAUCUAGGUAGUGGAGGUAAUCUAGGUAGUGGAGGUAAUCUAGGUAGUGGAGGUAAUCUAGGUAAUCUAGGUAGUGGAGGUAAUCUAGGUAGUGGAGGUAAUCUAGGUAGUCAAGGUAGUGGAGGUAAUCUAGGUAGUGGAGGUAAUCUAGGUAGUGGAGGUAAUCUAGGUAGUCAAGGUAGUGGAGGUAAUCUAGGUAGUGGAGGUAAUCUAGGUAGUGGAGGUAAUCUAGGUAGUCAAGGUACUGGAGGUAAUCUAGGUAGUGGAGGUAAUCUAGGUAGUCAAGGUAGUGGAGGUAAUCUAGGUAGUGGAGGUAAUCUAGGUAGUGGAGGUAAUCUAGGUAGUCAAGGUAGUUGAGGUAAUCUAGGUAGUGGAGGUAAUCUAGGUAGUGGAGGUAAUCUAGGUAGUCAAGGUAGUGGAGGUAAUCUAGGUAGUGGAGGUAAUCUAAGUAGUGGAGGUAAUCUAGGUCACAGAAUAAGGACAUACAGAAGUGUAACUUCCAUUACAAAACCGUAAGGCGCUUUUUUUUGGCGGCCAUGUUCUUAGCAAGUGCCCUAAAGAGAGGCAUUCACCCCCCUGAACUCAAUAUUCAAGAUGGCGGCCGUUUAGAGGAGUUUAUUAAAUAGAAAGCAAUGUGAACUCUUUUUACUCGUUUGAUUUAAGGAUUAUUGUCACCAAAUUAUUUUUGGAACUCCAAAUAAUGUGUGCGUAGAGGAUACGGGUUACAGGAAAUAUUUUAAAUAUUAUAUUUUGUUUUUUUUUAUCGUCGUAGGAGUGAAAACAAGUAUUCAUGGUAAAAUUACUCAACGCAUGUUUGUAAAAAUCGCUUCAAUCCUCAAUACCAGGAUAACCGACUCUGUUCUACACUAUAUCCUACAAUUGAAAAUGUUGAUAAGAUAAAUUUAGGUAAUGGGCGAAACUAUUCUAGACUUGCAAGUGGUUGCAAGUCAAAAAUAAAGUUGGAAAUAUACAAAUUAAGGCAGAGUUGAUAAUAGAAGUAAAUAGACAGUAGCACCAUGGAAAUAUAUAAAACAUGUAAAUUAAAAACAGUUUUUUGUGGAUACUGUGUGUGUAAUAUGUUUUAUGAUGAUUCUGUUGUGUAGCAAAACAAGUAAC
rnacentral:lncRNA from 1 species